rnacentral:rRNA from 2 species
GAUUAGUGGCGAACGGGUGAGUAACACGUGAGUAACCUGCCCCUGACUCUGGGAUAAGCGUUGGAAACGACGUCUAAUACUGGAUAUGAUCACUGGCCGCAUGGUCUGGUGGUGGAAAGAUUUUUUGGUUGGGGAUGGACUCGCGGCCUAUCAGCUUGUUGGUGAGGUAAUGGCUCACCAAGGCGACGACGGGUAGCCGGCCUGAGAGGGUGACCGGCCACACUGGGACUGAGACACGGCCCAGACUCCUACGGGAGGCAGCAGUGGGGAAUAUUGCACAAUGGGCGAAAGCCUGAUGCAGCAACGCCGCGUGAGGGAUGACGGCCUUCGGGUUGUAAACCUCUUUUAGUAGGGAAGAAGCGAGAGUGACGGUACCUGCAGAAAAAGCACCGGCUAACUACGUGCCAGCAGCCGCGGUAAUACGUAGGGUGCAAGCGUUGUCCGGAAUUAUUGGGCGUAAAGAGCUCGUAGGCGGUUUGUCGCGUCUGCUGUGAAAUCCCGAGGCUCAACCUCGGGCUUGCAGUGGGUACGGGCAGACUAGAGUGCGGUAGGGGAGAUUGGAAUUCCUGGUGUAGCGGUGGAAUGCGCAGAUAUCAGGAGGAACACCGAUGGCGAAGGCAGAUCUCUGGGCCGUAACUGACGCUGAGGAGCGAAAGCAUGGGGAGCGAACAGGAUUAGAUACCCUGGUAGUCCAUGCCGU